rnacentral:rRNA from 1 species
ACGAUGAUUUCCCGCUUGCUGGGAAUGAUUACGUGGCGGACGGGUGAGUAACAUUUAGGAAUCUGCCUAGUAGUGGGGGAUAGCUCGGGGAAACUCGAAUUAAUACCGCAUACGACCUACGGGUGAAAGGGGGCGCAAGCUCUUGCUAUUAGAUGAGCCUAAAUCAGAUUAGCUAGUUGGUGGGGUAAAGGCCCACCAAGGACGACGAUCUGUAACUGGUCUGAGAGGAUGAUCAGUCACACCGGAACUGAGACACGGUCCGGACUCCUACGGGAGGCAGCAGUGGGGAAUAUUGGACAAUGGGGGCAACCCUGAUCCAGCCAUGCCGCGUGUGUGAAGAAGGCCUUUUGGUUGUAAAGCACUUUAAGCAGGGAGGAGAGGCUAAUGGUUAAUACCCAUUAGAUUAGACGUUACCUGCAGAAUAAGCACCGGCUAACUCUGUACCAGCAGCCGCGGUAAUACAGAGGGUGCGAGCGUUAAUCGGAAUUACUGGGCGUAAAGCGAGUGUAGGUGGCUCAUUAAGUCACAUGUGAAAUCCCCGGGCUUAACCUGGGAACUGCAUGUGAUACUGGUGGUGCUAGAAUAUGUGAGAGGGAAGUAGAAUUCCAGGUGUAGCGGUGAAAUGCGUAGAGAUCUGGAGGAAUACCGAUGGCGAAGGCAGCUUCCUGGCAUAAUAUGACACUAGA